rnacentral:rRNA from 1 species
AUUGAACGCUGGCGGCAGGCCUAACACAUGCAAGUCGAGCGGAUGAAGGGAGCUUGCUCCUGGAUUCAGCGGCGGACGGGUGAGUAAUGCCUAGGAAUCUGCCUGGUCGUGGGGGAUAACGUCCGGAAACGGGCGCUAAUACCGCAUACGUCCUGAGGGAGAAAGUGGGGGAUCUUCGGACCUCACGCUAUCAGAUGAGCCUAGGUCGGAUUAGCUAGUUGGUGGGGUAAAGGCCUACCAAGGCGACGAUCCGUAACUGGUCUGAGAGGAUGAUCAGUCACACUGGAACUGAGACACGGUCCAGACUCCUACGGGAGGCAGCAGUGGGGAAUAUUGGACAAUGGGCGAAAGCCUGAUCCAGCCAUGCCGCGUGUGUGAAGAAGGUCUUCGGAUUGUAAAGCACUUUAAGUUGGGAGGAAGGGCAGUAAGUUAAUACCUUGCUGUUUUGACGUUACCAACAGAAUAAGCACCGGCUAACUACGUG